rnacentral:rRNA from 1 species
GAAACCCGGUGAUCUAGCCAUGGGCAGGUUGAAGGUUGGGUAACACUAACUGGAGGACCGAACCGACUAAUGUUGAAAAAUUAGCGGAUGACUUGUGGCUGGGGGUGAAAGGCCAAUCAAACCGGGAGAUAGCUGGUUCUCCCCGAAAGCUAUUUAGGUAGCGCCUCGUGAAUUCAUCUCCGGGGGUAGAGCACUGUUUCGGCAAGGGGGUCAUCCCGACUUACCAACCCGAUGCAAACUGCGAAUACCGGAGAAUGUUAUCACGGGAGACACACGGCGGGUGCUAACGUCCGUCGUGAAGAGGGAAACAACCCAGACCGCCAGCUAAGGUCCCAAAGUCAUGGUUAAGUGGGAAACGAUGUGGGAAGGCCCAGACAGCCAGGAUGUUGGCUUAGAAGCAGCCAUCAUUUAAAGAAAGCGUAAUAGCUCACUGGUCGAGUCGGCCUGCGCGGAAGAUGUAACG